UUCGCCACAGACGCUGCUGGGACUUAUUCUGUGAUCAGCUCAGUACCUUUACCAUCCCUGUCUUUAGACACCAGUGGAGAUAAAGAUCCACAGCAGACAGGGGAUGACGUGUAUCACAUGUACUGUACCAUAAAUGACACACAAGUCAACACCAAAGGCACGGAUGAGGUGUACAGCCUGCUGCAGAGUACAACACACUAAAUGACGUCUUAGUUUAGUUUCUUUCAUGAAAUACAUGCGUCUUUAUUUUGUAAAUGUAAAUAAAUUAAC